rnacentral:rRNA from 1 species
GUACACGCUGUGACUAGCAUAUCAAUAAGCGGAGGAAAAGAAACUAACAAGGAUUCCCCUAGUAACGGCGAGUGAAGCGGGAAGAGCUCAAAUUUGAAAUCUUAAAGGGUUUCCCUUUACGAAUUGUAGUUUAAAGAAGUGUUUUCUGUUGAGGUUUUGGUAAAAGUUCUUUGGAAUAGGACAUCAUAGAGGGUGAGAAUCCCGUAUUUGACCUUUACUUUCAACUUUGUGAUACACUUUCAAAGAGUCGGAUUGCUUUGGGAAUGCAGUCCAAAAUGGGUGGUAAAUUCCAUCUAAAGCUAAAUAUUGGCGAGAGACCGAUAGCGAACAAGUACCGUGAGGGAAAGAUGAAAAGAACUUUGAAAAGAGAGUUAAACAGUACGUGAAAUUGUCAAAAGGGAAGCGUUUGACACCAGUGUUGUUUUUCUGAAAAUCAAUUAAAGAACUGUUUAUGCUAAGCUGUUUAGACUUUAUCAGCUAAUCUGUUUAGUUUUGAGCUUUUCUUUAAUGCACUUUUCAGUUAACAAGUCAACAUCAAUUUCUUUUGCUGUAAAAAAGCUUGAGGAAGGUGGCUUGAGAUUCGUCUUAAGUGUUUAUAGCCUCUUGCCUAUGCAGUCGGAGAGAUUGAGGUCUGCAGCGUAGAUCCUUCGGGGCUAAAUGCAUUUGUGCUAAGUUAUAGCAUUUCAUAGACAACUUGUUGACUAUGAUUUGUCUUGUAGCUUACUCGCUUAUGUUAUUUUACCUACGCUUAGGAUGUUGACGAGACUGUCGAUCUCAUCUAUACAUGACUCUGUGCAUAUCAAUAAGCGGAGGAAAAGGUACCUACGCUUAGGAUGUUGACGAGACUGUCGAUCUC